rnacentral:rRNA from 1 species
UAACUGAAUCAUAGAAUUUCUUUAAAUUCAUGAUGUCGUAAGGGAAAAUAAUGAUAUUACCUUACUAUGAGUGUCGUCCAAAACUGGUGCCAGAAGACUCGGUAAUACCAGAGACGCAAACGUUAAUCAUCAUAAACAGGCGUAAAGGGUUUGUAGGCAGCUUUCAUAAGAUUAUUUCUUACACAAAUAAAUAAGUGGUCUGAUUGAAAGCUAGAAUCAAAAAGAGGUUAUAGUGUAUAACGCCUAGAGGAGGGCUGAUAUCCUUAGAUCCUAGGCAGAAUACUUAGGGCGAAGGCCACUCUCCACUAAUGAUUGACGCUGAGAAACGAAGGUAAGGGUAGGAAAUAGGAUUAGAUACCCCGGUACUCCUUUCUGUAAACGAUGAAUGGUAGUCAUUAGUAAAAUUAAAAUUAGAGACGAAGUUAACACAAUAACCAUUCCGCCUUGUGAGUACUACUGCAAAGUAGAAAACAAAAAAAUUAGUCGGUCUCGAAGCAAACGGAGUGAAGCAUGUUAUUUAAU